GUGCCAGCAGCCGCGGUAAUACGGAGGGUGCGAGCGUUGUUCGGAUUUACUGGGCGUAAAGGGCGCGUAGGCGGCCUGUCAAGUCAUAUGUGAAAGCCCACGGCUCAACCGUGGAAGUGCAUGUGAAACUGGCAGGCUUGAGUACUGGAGGGGAGUGUGGAAUUCCCGGUGUAGAGGUGAAAUUCGUAGAUAUCGGGAGGAAUACCGGUGGCGAAGGCGACACUCUGGACAGAUACUGACGCUGAGGCGCGAAAGCGUGGGGAGCAAACAGGAUUAGAAACCCGGGUAGUCC
rnacentral:rRNA from 1 species